rnacentral:lncRNA from 1 species
GUGUACUUUGAAUCGAGUUACAUCGGAAUAUGAAAUAAAAAAUGGGGGUCACCAUUUUUGUUUUUUUGGAAUUUUCAUAGGAAAACGUCAAUUUUGGCGACAAAUUUACUUAGGUAUAUAGGGGAAAUGCCUUUUUUUCGGCUUACCUUUUUAGAUUUUCGAAUGGAUGGCUAUUUUCUUAUAUACGGAGAAAAACAAAAAACUAACAUAAUAUCCAGGAUUGCAUAGUGAAUCCAUACACGUAUAGAAACUCAUAUGUCACCAUCCUUGUUUUUGAAAUAAAUGGCUUCAAAGUUGAUCGAUAGGCCUAGAAUUUGACCAAAAACGUGUGACGUUAUGGUGUACGGAAUAUAACGUUAUUCCUUCUCAGAGAAAUGGAGAAAAAAAUAUGUGUCGGGAUCUGAAUGAGUAUAUUUUAUUUUCAUUUCCCCUGUCGACUGUCGUAAAGUUCCUAGUAAUGCAAUAUACAAUUCUACUGAAUCAGAUAUAAUUUUAUUUCGUCCUGCACAUGGAAUUUCACUCAUAUGAAUUAAUAUUUAUAUCGUCUGAUUUUCACAUCAAACGAGCAUAUACUUGAAACUUGCGUGAACAGGUUC